rnacentral:lncRNA from 1 species
UUGAGACUAAGUGAUAAAGCUGUUUGGACUAAUUGGUGUGGAUCUUGUUGGAUUUUUGAUGCAUAGACAGAGAGAGAUUCAACACAAAGUGUUGGAUAUUGUGUUGUGCUACAUGAGGUUUUGAUGAAGUUUGUUGGUGUUGAUGUUGCUAUAGAGACAAGAGUUAUUAGAAGGAAAAGAAGGGAAACCAUGGUUGCCAUGUUUGGAGAGAGAGAGAGAGAGAGAGAGAGAGAGAGAGAGAGAAGAGAGAGAGAAGAGAGAGAGAGAGAGAGAGAGAGAGAGAGAGAGAGAGAGGUGUUAUUGUUUUGUGGUUGGUUGUGAUUUGUAAGAAUGAAUAAGGAUCUAGAUAUUAUAUAGAGAGAUAUAGUUGAGGGUUGUGGUUUGUUCUAUUCAUAGGAUCUGGUUUUGUCGAUGUUCUUUUGUUACAAACAUUGUAAGUCGGCAAUCAAAUAAUGAGGUUUUUUUUUUUAUAUUUAAAAACCAAGUUGUCGACAUACUAGUAUCUUCUUGUGAUUGUUAAAAUCUCCAAUAAUGCAAUUGAUUAUUUUUUUAUUUAAGUUUUUGUGAUGUUAGGGUCCACGUAGGAAAAAUCUGAGGAACAUUAUUGGAUUUUGGGAAGAAAAAUAUGGGAAUGCUUUUAUUACUUACAAAUCAUGUAGUGACAUGUAGUAUUGUUCCCUGAUGUUGUGUCUGAUUAAUGAUGUAAAUCAGAAUCAGUUUUGGUUGUAGUAUUGAUUGAGGGUUCUGUGCAUUCGUUUCAUGUGUCAAAAUAUUUGUGUAUACUAACGGAUUAGGAUUAGAUCAUCUCAGAUGUCCACUCAUGGGGAGAGAGAGUGUGUGAUUUAGAGAGGCUUGAAGAUUUAUCUUCAACAUCUCUUUUCUUUUCUUUAUUUAUGUAUUGUAAGGUUAUAUUGUUUUCUCGCGGAACAACCAUUGAUAGUGUAUGUGUCCGUAAUAAUUUAAAAUAUUCAAAUUUCAUAAAUUAUUAUACAUUUGAAUUCGAUCGGAGAUGUAUUUUCGUAAAUAUUUUGAAGAUAUAUUUUCGUAACGUCUCAAAACUUGGUUUUUCAUAUUAUAUUUUAUUUUUUUGUAUUCAAAUGAAGAUAUAAACCAUUUCAUAUAAUCGAAAAUAAAAAAUCUACGUACAUAAUUCCAGAUGGUCCAAAAAUGUCAUACAUAAAUAAAAUACCAAUAAAUAUAAAAAAUAUCAUACAAUCGAGACAAAUAAAGUAGUAAGAUCGUCAAAAUAAAAUACAGACCAUAGUACUACACUAUAUACUAACACACUAUUGUGUAUGUCUAACUACCUCUCAUCUGCCUCGUCUACCUCCUCGACCAUCAAUCCCCCAUCCCCUGACGUUGUCUCUGGUACAACAAUGCCCUUCAUGCCUCUGUCAUGAUGGCAUCUAGGACCUUCCUUACACCAAACCCAUCAGGGAAGAGACAUGCGUCAAUGUCUUCCUACGCAAUCUCCACUAUGUAAUGGCACCUAGGCAAGACAUCUUCAACAUGAUCUAGCUGUGUCUGCUACUCCUCUAGUAUCUCCUGAUGAACUGGUCUCGAUGGAUCUCUUGGAGUAGCAUGAACCAUGUACAAAUGUGACACCCUGAAGAACCAUAUGAUGUACCCUUCGACGUAGUUCCAAUCACUCUCAGCGAUGGUAGCCCGUGCCUCUUCCGAUACCGGAUGACUCUCAUAAUCAUCCAACAUGUCCUUUAUAUGUCUAUGUGUCAAGGCAGGAGGAGAAGAGACAACAUGAUGUCUGAGAAUGGUCUGAGUGUAGCCGAACUUCCGCAUGACACGCUCGGGCAGAUGAGGAGCAAUGAGACCCGAUUAACAUGUCAAUCAUCCAGAGUAUAGCAUUAUCUCGUAAAAUGGUCGCGUCUCACAGUGAUCAACAUAAUUGUUGAAGUGCAUGUCCUCAAUAAUCAGACGAUCAAGAUAGACUCUAUAAGGAUCGGUCGCCAGGUUCCUUCUAAAAUUUGUCAAAAAUAAUCAUUGUCAGAAAUUUUUCAAUUAAAAUUAACGUUAAAAACAUAAUGAAUCCAACUAAUCCUACCUCUCAGUCUCAGAUAUGUCUGACAAUAUGGUCUGAAUACAUAUACAAUAAUGACAAAUCAAAUGGGCCUCCUCCAAAUGCCUCUAGCUCAGCACGCGCAGCAGCCUCACCCUCAGGAGGUGGCACUAGAUCAACAACAUCAAUGGUAGGAGGGUGGACUGGAUCAACAUCAUUUAUAGUAGGAGGUGACAUUGGAUCAGCAACAUCCUAGGGGAAGAAGAAGAUGAAGUGGAAUGAGGAGAAGCACGAGCCCAAGAAAUGGAUGACUUUGCCUGACCAGAGGGACCAAGAGCCUCCGGAACCUACUUACUUUUCGCCUGCCACGCAGAUGUGUGAUGAUCAACCCUCAUGUGCCCUAAUUUAUCAUGUCUAUACGCCAUUAUGAUUGUAAGUUAAAGUAAGGUAAACCAUUAGUCCGGGAAAACAACACAAGCAAGAAAAUCAAACAAAAAAAAUUGCAGAAAAUUCAGGAGAUGCAUCUCGGUAACCUAGUAAUCUAAAACGCUGAAAAAUUCUAGAGAUGCAUCUCCGAAAUUUCCUGCAACUCAGAAGUUACAUCAAUUGUGUCAAUGUACCCCAUGCAAUGUUAAAAAAACUUAUUUUGAUCAUAAUUUUCAGCCAACAAACAUCUAAUACAAUAUGUCUAAACUAUCUUAAAUUUUAUUUCUACUCAUUUCUAACUCUAAUAAUUGAUUUCUACUCAUUUACACAAAAACUCAAAAAUUUAUCGAAAAUUUAAAAAGUUGAUGUUUCAGAUGUUGUUUCUGAUGUUAGAGAUGAUGAUUGAGUUUUAAGUUGGUGCAGAGAAAAAUCUGAGAGAGUGUUGAAGAAGUGUUUUAAGUAAAAUAUGAAGUGAUGAAGCAGAAGGGUCUGACGCGAUUUAACCUCCAAAAUGUUAUGGAGAUGCAUCUCCUAAAUCUAGGGGCAUUCAUGUAUUUUUGUGUGGUGCGUAAGAAACAUAUGGGGUGCAUUAAAAAAUUGCCCAUUUAUAAGGUAAAUAAGAUUGGGCCUUCCUAGGCCUUUAGUCUAGGCCAGAACAAUUGUCCCCAAACUUACGAUGUCGAUAGGCGUAUGAUGUAUUCAAAAUUCGGUCAGGCGACUCCAUUCCCAUAUUCUUGCAAGGAGAAGUGGAAAAGUUCUGGCAACAUCCUCAUUAAAUGCUUAUCUAAUCAUUGAAACAUUUUGUUGAAAACCUUACGCCUGGAUCUAGGUGAACAUGUUAAGGAAUGACGCAUCUAUCUACACUAUUCGAGUGCACUUAAGUGCAUUUAUUUCCCCGAGGAGGCAUUUUGGGUUGUCGGAUCAUUGUUCUGACAUUAUCCCACAAUUUUGUAAUAUUUUCCCUCUCUUUAUAUAAACUUCCUUUUGGGUUUCUUUAGAACUUUUUGGUUUCCUUCUUCUUCUUUCUACCACUCUUGUGCUUUUCUUCUUCAUUACCCCUAGGUGAUUCUUGCUUCCAUUUGCUUCUCUGCCUGCUUGAGUCUUUGCAUUGUCAUUUUUCCUUUCUCAAACAAUUUCCUUCGCUCCAUAUCCUUCCUUCAGGUACCAUUUAUUUUUGGCCCUUCUUCUCUUUUCGUUGUUUUGUUAUGGAUGACCCAUGGGUUUUCCAUUGAAUAUAAAUGGAGACUGUGGGAGGGAUUCUGCCAUAUCGUCUUCUUAUGGGAACCCUAACAUUCCAGAUAAGAAGCAACUAAAAAUUAAUGGUCUCAUUCCUAAUUUGGCCAUUCUUAGCGAUAGUUUAGGAUUGAGGGAUGUUCUGUUGAGAGUGGAGGCGGCCCUCUUAGUCCUUCUGAUGAGAAUGAGGAGGGGAACUCACACACUCUAGUUUAUAUGGAGUCUGUUGCACGUGUAACUUCUUAUGUUCAUUAUUAUGAAGAAAUGAAAACCGUUCCCUAUCAUGAGAUAAGAACCCAUUAUUUUCUGAAACGUUUUCACUACUAGUGGUAGAGAACCCAUUUAGGAGGUAAUUCGGGAACAUCUACUUUUUAGGAAUAAUUAUCCAACUUUUGAAAUACGUUUUAUUUUAUGUGAGAGUUGAAACGACAUUAUCUUUCCUUUAGCACUUCAUCAGAACCUUGAAUAUUCUUUUGACGAGGCUUGAGAUAACUCUUCAAGAUAACUUCCAUCAUCAGAUAAACCAGUUGAUCAUACAUCUUUGCUGACUUCACCUGAUUAAGUUUGACAUAAGGUAUUUUCUUCCAUAUAUAGACAUAUAACUAGAUCUCCAAGCGCCACAAUCUUGAUCACCGCAACUUGAUUACCAAGCAUAUUAAUUUGAUCAUUGCACCAGAUGAUCUUUAGACACUUCAGCUACAACGCAACUUGAUAAUCUCAACAGAUGACACUUUGAUAUUCAAGCACCAUCACUUGAUAAAGACUUCUCUUAAGAGCACUACCAACAUUAAAACUUAACAAAUCACUGCAGACAUCAUACAUGUAAGCACAUAAAUCCAAAGUUUGGGGGGAAAAUAAUUAAAUUUCAAGAACAACAUUAAAGGAUUUUAAGUAUUUGCAAGCUCGAAUAUGAUCUUAUACCUUAUUUAUUUUUUAUCUUUUUAUGAUCAUUAGUUUAAGUGUGAGUAACUCGUAAACUAUUAAAUUGAUGCGCGCGCACACACACAUACACACACACACACACACACACACACACAACACACACAACACACAAUACACAACACACAACACACACACACACAACACACACGCACACACGCAACACACACACAUACACACACACACACACACACACACACAACACACACAACACACAAUACACAACACACAACACACACACACACAACACACACGCACACACGCACACACGCACGCACGCGCACACACACACACACACACACAAAUAUAGAUUAAGAAGCCUUUUAAUUUCCCUAAUAUAGAUUAAGAAGCCUUUUAAUUGAUUAGGCUCGAGUUUUGGUAUUUUCUUCCCUAAAAGCUAUGUAAUAGUAGAUUAGCAUCGCAGGCUAAUCGUGUAGGUAACAACUUUGGCCUAAAAUUCUUUCAUUUUUUGGCCAAUUUUGUUACUAUAUAGGCAGGACCAGUGUUUACUUUAAAACAACACAAGAAAUCUGAAAUAUUACUCUUCUCGCUUACUCAGUCUCUUCUGAGAAACUUUUUAAACACUUAUAAUCCUUUUACGUUGAGAGAGAAAAAUACUUAAGUAAGAGUUAUGCUUGUGUAAUUGACAUUUGAAUCAAAUUGAGUUAUAAUUUUAAAUCAAGAGUAUCAUUUUCUUGUAACAUUGAUAUUAUUAUAAAGAUUGCAAAUUGAAUGUGGGUAAAAGCCCGGUGUAAAAAGGUUAUGGGUUGAUCUUGUGAUAAAAACUUAAUCUGUUAGUGGAACUCCCAAAGAGAAAUCCUUAAGGACUAGAGUAGAUCGUGUGGUUUACGAUUGAACCAAUGUAAAUUUUGGUGUGCACUUUCCUUUGCCUUAUCUCUUUAUUUUCAUGUUAUUUACUUUUUUGCGCUUGAAUCUCUCCUUUAUCUCUUUUUAAAAAUUGAUCAAGUCAAAUCAAUUGUUUUUUGUUUUCUAAAAGUAUUCAAAAACCUUUAUUAGCAUAAUUCACCCCUCUUAUAUUUGAAGUAUCUUGGUCAACAAGUGGAUUAAAGCCUAAUUCUUAUUAUAAGACUAAUCAUCAUAGGAGGUAGGAUGAUUUCAAAUGAUUCAUUAAAAACCCCUCAUAUUUUUAUGGCGGGGAGUAUGCUUAUUGGAAAGAGAAAAUACAAAUCCUUAUAGAGGAGAUGGAUUGUGAUAUAUGGAUUGCUGUUAAAAAAGGUCCAUUUUCCCCACAUUAUGGCGGGGAGUAUGCUUAUUGGAAAGAGAAAAUACAAAUCCUUAUAGAGGAGAUGGAUUGUGAUAUAUGGAUUGCUGUUAAAAAAGGUCCAUUUUCCCCACACAACAAGUUAAUGAUGUUAUGGAAAACAAAUUUAGAGAUCUUUGAACCAAAGAACAUAACGGAAAGGUGUAGUACAAUUUGAAAGCUAAAACUAUUACCACUAAUGCUCUUGGUAUUGAUGAGUUUUUCGUGUUUCUCAUUGUAAUUAGGAAAAAGAAAUAUGGUACACCAUUCAAGUUACCCAUGAAUGUAUGACCGAGGUGGAAAAGGCUAGAAAGAACAUAUUGGCCCAUGCAUAUGAAUUCUUUAGGGUGAAACCUGAAGAAAAUAUCCCGGAUAUGAAAAAGUAGUGUAUUCACAUUAUUAAUCACUUAAGAACUUUAUGUAAGAAUUUCAAAAUAAGGAUUUAAUUAACAAAGUCCUUAGACACCUAAACCACAGUUGGAAACUUAAAAUCAAUUCGAUUUCUAAACCCGAAGACUUGUCUUCUAUGAAUUUGGCUACUUUUUUUUGGAAAAUUACAAAAGUAUGUGAUUGAGCUAAAAAGGAUUGUUGAAAAUGAAGAAAGCGACAAGAAAAAGAAAAGCAUUGCACUCAUAGUUGAAGAAACCAAAUAAUCAGAAAACUCUGAAGUUAUGAAUCUCUUAGUCUACAAGUCCAAAAAGAUCAUAAGGCACAAGAAACAACCUCAAAAUUUCCAACAUAAAACUAAAGAAAUAUGUUCGUUAUUGCGAACAUGCUUCCACGCACUGUGGAAAGAUAGACCACAAAAAGUCAAACUGCCUCAAAGCCACGAACGAGUUAAAAGAUACAAAAUACCUCAAAAUAAAGAAAGAAGGCAUACAUAGCAUGUGAUGAUAAUGAUAUGGACUCCUCCGAGGAAUAUUAAAAAGAGGAAGAAGCCAACAUAUUUCUCAUGGAUAAUUACGAAAAAAAUGAGGUAAAUGAUCUAACUUCUAAAUGUACUUAUUUCGAGCUCUUCCUUAUCUGUAAAUAGCUAAAUAGUGAGUCAAGCAAAUUAAAAUAAAUUGUUUGUGUUUCUAAAGUAACUAUAUCUUCUCCUGAAAAUAAAAUUUAAAAUUUCGUAGAGGAAAUAGACUACCUUAGAUAAAAAUAUACUUUUUUAAUUCGUGUCACUCCUAAAACUAUUGAUAAAUCUGUCAAGUGUGUGAAAUACAGUGUUUUAGAAAAUAAAAUCAAAGAUUUGCAUAACACACUUUAUAAACUUACCAAAAAGAGACAACUUGAACCUCAUUUUCGGCUAUUAAAGAGGAACAUAUAACAAAGUUGGUUUAGGAUACCACCCAACCUAAAAUUAAUGCUAAAACCUUUAAAAUAAUUCUUCAAUGCUAGUAAGACUCAUAAAUUUAAUAUGUCAAAAUGUAAUUAUAGUGGUAAAAAUAAUGUGUUUCUUGAUACUUCUCGUUAUUUAUCAUAUUAAAUGUGUGAUUUAAUAUAAUUUUAAAUGUUAGAAGAACCUACUUGAUCACACACAUAAGAACAAAUUGAUGAGAGAUUAAAUAAAUAAGUAAACUUUAUUCAACUUGCAGCCCACACAAGUGGUUCUAUAAAUAAAACUUUUGUGAUGAAGUAUAUAAGCUUGAUCAAAUUUGUUUAAGAAAUACUAAUUUUACGGAAACCAAAAACACCUCUCUCUCUCUCUCUCGUCAUCUCCUCUUCCUCUCUCAUCUCUCGUGGCGUCGGUCGUGUGUGCGUGUCUCCUCUCUCUCUCUUCUCCUCUCCUCCUUCUCUCUCCUCUCUCUCUCUCUCUCUCUCAUCUCUCUCUCUCUCUCUCUCUCUCACUCUCUCUCUCUCUCUCUCUCUCUCUCUCUCUCUCUCUCUCUCUCUCUCUCUCUUCUCUCUCUCUCUCUCUCUCUCUCUCUCUCUCUCUCUCCUCUUCUCUCUCUCUCUGCUCUUUCUCUCUUUAUAUAUAGAUAUAUAAUAUAUUAUAUAUAUAUAUAUAAUAUAUAUAUAUAUAUAUAUUAUAUUAUAUAUAUAUAAUAUAUAUAUAUAUAAUUAUUAUAUAUAUAUAUAUAUAUAUAUAUAUAUAUAUAAUAUAUAUAUAUAUUAUAUAUAUUAUAUAUAUAUAUAUGGCCGGCCCAAUAUUAUCAAAGGUGCCGUUCUAAUUACAAAAAUGGCCAAUUUUUUAAAACAUAAUUAUAAUAAUAAAAAAAAUAUAUCAAAAAUAUUAUAUAUAAUUAAAAAUAAAUUUAAUUAUAAUUAUUUUGAUUUUGAUCAAUCUUGAUUUUUAUUAUUGAAUUUUUAUCAUAAUAUUUUUUUCAAUUAUUGAGUGUUUUAAUAACAUUUAAUAUUUAUUAAUAUUUAUGAAAAAAAAUCAAAAAUUUCAAAAAUUGGAUCCUCUAAUAGUGGGGCCUUGCGACUGCAACACAUGCACAGGGCCGACUCUCACAAUACUAGCUGAUUUGAAGAAUAGAUAUAUUAUAUUAUAUAUAUAUAUAUAUAAUAUUAUAUAUAUAUAUAUAUAUAUAUUAUAUAUUAUAUAUAUUAUAUAUAUAUAUAGUAUAUAUAUUAUAAUUUAUAUAUAUAUAUAUAUUUAUACUUAUAUAUACUAUAUUAAUAUUUAUUAUAUAUAAUAUAUGAUUCUUCAAAUCAGCUAGCAUUGUGAGAGAACAUAUUUUAUUUGUAUGGGAUGAGUAUAAAGUAUAUUGUUAGUAGAGUGCUUAGGAUCACUCUCAGAACUCUACUUGAAAGGUUUAUCACUACGAGAGAUAAUCAUUCGAUCGUUGAUCAUGAUCAUUCGUAAAGAUUCAUUAAUGAAAAAUCAUUUGUUUAUCCGCUGCAUUUUUUCUUAAUUUAUCUUCAAAAACAACAUAAGAGAAAAUUUUGAUUGUCUAACAUUUGUUGUAUGUUAGAAUUUUUUUUUAAUACAUUCAAGAUAAUCUAUCAUAUCCAAAAAUAAUAAAGUUCUACAAAAUUGAAGAGGAUGUGUUUUGAAUUUCGUUUAACUAAUGUUCGAUAGUAAAGCAAUUACAUGAAAAGAGAAGCCUAGAAUCAACAAAUUCGAUGAAGAAAGAUAGAAGGAUCAUUUUUAAGUACAAGGACAAAGAGUGUAUCUUGUACAACCAUAAGAGCACUUGAAAGAUUUUGGUCGGAAGAACCAUCAUUUUCCUAAAGAAGGUAAAAAAGUAGUUGGAUAAGAAAGAAUAUAUCUAAAUAAUACAAUAAAAAAGGAUAAUUUGGAUAAGAAAAAACUUGUGUAAAAAUUACGAUUAAAAUAGGGUGCUUGGAUGAAAAUCUCGAUAAUAAAGACUAAUUAGGCAAGGUGAUCUCUAAAUAAAUAAUAAAAUCUUAAUGAACAUUGAUCCCCAUCAAACAUUUUUCCAUCAAUGUGUAAAUAUGAAUAAAGAAAACAAAAUUUCAACCUACCAAUUAUGUAGCCAGACCUAAUUUCCAUAUAAAAAUGUUAGGUCACGAACAUUACAUCCCAAGUUCUAGAAAUUAAGGUAAGUUAUAGUUAGAAAGUUGCAAACAAGAAAAUUAUAUAAAUAUAGUAACUUUAUUUCACUCUAUAUAUAGAUGUAGUUACACAUUACACACAUCGCAUAAAUAAAAUAAAAUAAAAUAAAAUAAAAAAGAACCAACCACAUUAAAUUAUUUCUCAACAACCUUAAAACCAAAGCAUUUGAUUCCUAAUGUUUAAUUUCUUCCAUGUGAUUAGCAGCAUAUUGAUUAAUGAGUGAAAGAGCAUUACUAGUAAAUUGAGCAAUAUUAGCCAUUCUAGAUAUAAUAGAGGCUUUGAUUAUUCCAUCAAGUGAUUUUCCACUAAAUCCAUCUCCACAAGUGGUUUCAUCAGUCAAAGCUGAGCUAACCCAUGUCUCCACAUUGCUUAUAUGCCAAUUGAAAUCUUGACCAUUGAUCUUGCAAAGUUUAAGCUCUUUCAAUGAACGGCUAAGCCUAUCAACACUAUCACUGAUUUCUUCAGCACAAUCACGAAGAGCAGCAUAUUCUCUUUGUUUAAGAUUUUUGAAUGUAUUGCACAUUGUAACAAAGCCUUUUGUGGUUUGAGUUUUGUUGAGGCUAAGUGAUAAAGCUGUUUCGGCUAAUUGGUGUGGAUCUUGUUGGAUUAUUGUUGCAUAGACAGAAAGAGAUUCAAGACAAAGUGUUGGGUAUGGUGUUGUGCUACAUGAGGAUUUGAUGAAACUUGUUGGUGUUGGUGUUGAUGUUGCCAUUGAGAGUAGAGUUAGGAGAAGGAACAGAAGGGUAAACUUCGCCAUGUUGGUUUUGAAGGUU